AUGAGCUGUUUUCAACUCCCAAAGAAAACAUGCCGGAAACUGACUUCGAUUUCUUCGAACUUCUGGUGGGGUUCAACAAGUGGUGAUAAAAAGGUUCACUGGAUUGCUUGGGAUAAGAUGUGCACCGCAAAACAUGAAGGUGGUAUGGGCUUCCGCAACUAUCAAGUUUGUAGCCAAGCCUUGCUUGCCAAACAAGCUUGGAGGAUUCUGCGGAACCCAUCAUCUUUGUGUGCGCGUGUGUUGAAAGCACGAUAUUUUAAAGAAGGGUCCAUUAUGAAUGCAACAUGCCCAAGCAACGCCUCUUUUACUUUCAGGAGUAUUAUUCAUGGGAGAGAU
rnacentral:rRNA from 1 species